rnacentral:tRNA from 3 species
GGGGCUGUAGCUCAGUUGGUUAGCAGCGGGUCGCUCAUAACGAUCAGGUCGUAGGUUCAAGUCCUACCGGCCCCA